GCCCGGCGCUAGCUCAGUCGGUAGAGCACAGACUCUUAAUCUCGAGGUCGUGGGUUUCGAAACCCACGAUGGGCG